UGCGGAGGGUGCAAGCGUUGUCCGGAUUUAUUGGGUUUAAAGGGUGCGUAGGCGGCCCGUUAAGUCAGUGGUGAAAGCCUCCAGCUCAACUGGAGAACUGCCAUUGAUACUGACGGGCUUGAGUACAGACGAGGUUGGCGGAAUUGAUUGUGUAGCGGUGAAAUGCAUAGAUACAAUCAAGAACUCCGAUUGCGUAGGCAGCUAACUAGGCUGUAACUGACGCUGAGGCACGAAAGCGUGGGGAGCGAACAGG
rnacentral:rRNA from 1 species